GACGAACGCUGGCGGCGUGCCUAAUACAUGCAAGUUGAGCGCUGAAGGUUGGUACUUGUACCAACUGGAUGAGCAGCGAACGGGUGAGUAACGCGUGGGGAAUCUGCCUUUGAGCGGGGGACAACAUUUGGAAACGAAUGCUAAUACCGCAUAAAAACUUUAAACACAAGUUUUAAGUUUGAAAGAUGCAAUUGCAUCACUCAAAGAUGAUCCCGCGUUGUAUUAGCUAGUUGGUGAGGUAAAGGCUCACCAAGGCGAUGAUACAUAGCCGACCUGAGAGGGUGAUCGGCCACAUUGGGACUGAGACACGGCCCAAACUCCUACGGGAGGCAGCAGUAGGGAAUCUUCGGCAAUGGACGAAAGCCUGACCGAGCAACGCCGCGUGAGUGAAGAAGGUUUUCGGAUCGUAAAACUCUGUUGGUAGAGAAGAACGUUGGUGAGAGUGGAAAGCUCAUCAAGUGACGGUAACUACCCAGAAGGGGACGGCUAACUACGUG
rnacentral:rRNA from 1 species